AUUCUCGCAUGGGAUAAAACAAUACUGGGCCCUUGUAAAUGGAGGUGGUUACCAUUUCAUCUCUUCUCCAUGGUCUAGACAUUG
ensembl:snoRNA